GUGCUGUGACGAGUCCGAACUCUCUCACUGAAUAUAUAUGUGGUUUACCUACAUUAUCAGAGCGCU
rnacentral:snoRNA from 1 species